rnacentral:lncRNA from 1 species
CAAAGUCCAGAAUGUUUUCAUUGACAAAGCACCAGCUAAAACACAGAAUACCAAUGACUCUUAGACUCAUUCCCGGGCCUCCGGCUGACCACGGGAAAGGGGAUCUUCAGGAGCGGGUGUCUCAUGGCUGGGAAGAGGACGGCACAGGAGGGCUGGGGAACCCGAAUUGCAGCCUGAAUGGCCAGUGUCCUUUCUCCAGAAUGCAGUUCUCCCUUGCUCAGAAGAAAUGAGUCUGCCAGUGGGUACAACAUGAGAUGAUACUUCCACCCCCAUUGGUGACAGCCCUCACCUAGCUAUCAAGGUAUGCAGGGCUGACUUUUCACCUUCAGCCUGCUCCAGGGAAGGGCCAGAUGGCAUUCAGGCUGAUUCUGUGCUUCUGGCUGACUAAUCUCUCCAGGUACAAGAGUAAACAUGGAACGUGGGGACACCAUAUGUCCCUGACUCAUAGAGCUUGCAGGAAUCACCGUCAUUCUACGUGGCAUCUGCUUUCCUCGGCCGAGGUGGGAGGUGGGUCAAUGUAGCGGAGGAAACGUGUCUUAAAGUACAAGGCAGAGUGAACUGAAACAUAAAGAGAAGUGUGCACCUGGUAGUUGUAUCCUAAAUGACAUUUAUUUUCCAAAUGUGCUUUGUUUUGCUAGACAGUGUUCGACUUCCUUCACUCCUUCCAGGGGCCAGCAUGUGGCUGGCCACUGUCCACCCUCAGGGGUUGUGAACUGAAUUAAAGGGUUGCGUCCUUCAUCCAUUUUCUUUGCUGAACUGUCUUGAAUUUUACCCUAAGUUCAAAAUGAAGCAGACCAUAGCUGAGUUUAAAGGAGAUCCGAUUGACAUUGGGAAGUGGCACCCAAUAAGAUGGCUGUUUCUUCCGCCUGCUCCAGGGCUCGCCAACAGGAGAACUGAAAGCUGAAGCAUCUCAACCUGCAGAUACAUCUCAAAGGCCCCUUCAGCCGAUGUCCUCAGUGCCCUUGACACAGCCCCUUGGCACUUGCCUUCCACACACAUGCUGCUGCACCAGUUUCCUCCUGGUAGCAUCUUCCUUUCCGCCUGAGGAUUUCCCAGGCAUCCUGCCUCCAAGAAAGUCAGAAGUCAGUGCCUUCCUGAGAGCCGGUGAGAGCUCCGUCUCCCUUGGGCAAGUGGUGCUGAUGCCUGUUCCCUGCAUCCAUCUCUCAGAAGCCACAGCAGAACUGAGCUCCAGGGGCCACUGCGAGAAGCAUUUAUGGAGCUCGUGGAGUGAGGCAUCUCUUUAAUCCCUUCAGUAAGUCAGUGUGGGCCAAGGAGUCUGAGGAUCAGAGACCUUGUGACUUUUUAAGUGAAGAUUUACUAUGUGCUGGGGCCCAUUGUGUUUUAUUUUAUUGACUCGUCCCAAGCUCUAAGAGGGAGAGACCUUGAUUGUCCCAAUUUCACUGACACAGUUUGGGAAGGUUAAAACAUGAUGAAAGGAAAUAGACUGGAAUGAUACAGUAAUAUGGAAUUGAGCAUUUUCACCAACAUUUUUACAUGUUUUAAAAUGUCAUUUUCUGGCCAGGGGUGGUGGCUCACGCCUGUAACCCCAGCACUUUGGGAAGCUGAGGCUGGUGGAUCACUUGAGGCCAGGAGUUUGUGACCAGCCUGGCCAACACAGUGAAACCAUGUUUCUACUAAAAAUAUAAAAAAAUGGCUUGGUGUGGCCGUGCGCACUUUAAUACCAGGUACUUGGAAGGCCGAGGCAUGAGAAUCACUUGAAACUGGGAGGCAGAGUUUGCAGUGAGCCAAGAUCGUGCCACUGCACUCCAGCCUCGGAGACAGAGUGAGACUCUGUCUCAAAAAAAAAAAAAAAAAAAGUAAAUAAAAAUAAAAUGGUAUUUUAUUUUUCUUUCAUUCUUUUUUUUUUUUUUUACAAAAAAACUUUUAUUAUUAUUUUAGAUUUAAGAGGCACGUGUGCAGGUUUGUUACGUUGAUAUAUUGCAUAAUGGUAAGUUUUGGGCUUCUAGUGAACCCUUCACUCAAACAGUGACCGUUGUAUCUGACAGAUAAUUUUUCAGUUUUCACCUUCCUUCUGCUCUCCUGGCUUUUGGGUUCCCAGUGUCUAUUUUUUCCAUCUCUAUGUCCAUGUGGGCCCAUUGUUUAGCUCCCACUUACAAGUGAGGACAUGCAGUAUUUGAUUUCCUGUUUCUGAGUUAUUUAACUCAGAAUAAUGGUCUCCAGCUCCAUUCAUGCUGCUGCAAAAGACAUGAUUUCAUUCUUAAAAUGGCACUUUAUGAGGUUCGCUUUUCCUGGCAAGAUGAACUAACAAAAUGGAGAUGUUGGAUUCUUUUAUUAAACCCAAAUGUGGUGAGCCACAGAUGGAAGGUAGAAGGUUGCUGAUUCUCGAAAAAGAAUCUGGGAAAUGAUAGCCUAGGGUCAGGAGGGCCAGGUACCAAAAGGGAGGCUGGCUGGGGUUGUGGAGUUAUGUGCUUUUCCUUCCCUGAACUUCCCUCAAGAAAAUAAGAGCUUCCCCAUCACCUCAGCAAAGCAUCAGUCCCCCGGUGUUGAACCAGCUGGUACUCUGGCAGCCCUAAAGCACUCUCCUCCCGAGCUCCCACUUAAGCAAGGUGGGGAUGAUUUUAAGGCAGGCAGCUGUAGAAAAAGAGUAGGGCUCUGGGAGCUCUCCAGAGCUCCUCUGUCACCUGGCACAGAGGGUGGGUCACUCAGGGGAGGUCCAGCCCACAAUAAACAUGGAAGCCACGCACCCCGAUGUCAUCCCCCAGGCUCAUCCUCACCACGAGGCAGGCAAGGCCUGCACCUGGGCCUUUGCUCCUUCUCCCAGGGAUGUCAGACCAGCCAAGGCAGCCGGUGUUUCCACAUGCAUGUGGGCUCAGGAGGAUAUGAAAGGGUCAGGGCCAGCCCAAUAACUGAGCCACACACACUAGAUGAGAUGGUAGGGGAGUUCAGGCAGGGCAUGAAUUAAAGGAAGCUUAAUAAAUAUUCUCAAACAGAUCAGGAAAAACAAAACAAGAACACACAGCCACAAACAGACUUUAAUUGUUGGAAUAAAGAGCAUAAUUGAGGGACUGAAUAGUAGGGUGGAUUCAGUGGAAGAACAAAUCAGGAAGGACUCAGCAAGAUGAAGAGAUUGAGACGGAAAGUAAUAGUUAAGAACAUGGCUCCCUAUAACAGGAGUCCCAGAAAGAGGAAAAAAAUAAACAGGGGGUGAAACACACACACAAUUUCAGAAUGUAAGGUCUUAUAGAUAUAAUAAUAGUAGGAGAGAUGUCAAUAAAUCUUUUAAAAAAACACUGACAAAGGAGACAAAAAUUACCAAUAAUUUGGAAUAUUUGAGAAGCAUUAUAACAGUUACUUAAUGUUAUAUUGUCCAAUACAGUAGCCGAUAGCUACAUAACUCUUGAGCACUUGAAGUGUAGCUAAUGCAAGAAAAUUUUAAGAUUUUAUUUAAUUUUAAUUAAUUUAAAUUUUAAAACCUAAUACUUAAUUCAGGUAUUGAAAAACUUUUAAGUAUGUUUAGAACAAUCUGCUCUUUCAAUUGUAAAUUGAAAUCUAAAUACAGAUCAAGUGUAUCCAAUUUUAGUAUUUGUAUUGAAAUGCACUGAAAGAGCUAAAUCCACCCCAGGUUUCUAACACUCAAUACAGAAAAAUAAUGUAAAGCAUCUUGUUAAUAUUUUUAUAUUGAUUAUAUGUUCAAAUUGUUGUUUUGUAUAUAUUGUCUUAAAUAAUAUUAUUAAAAUUAAUUUCACCUGUGCAUUUUCACUUUUUAAUAUGGCUUCUAGAAAAUAUAAAAUUAUAUAUGUGGCUGGCAUUAUAUUUCUUUUGGACAACACUGAUCUAAUAGAUGUACAUAACUUACACCCACAGAGAAUAUUCAUUUUAAUUCCCAUGGAACAAAGAAAACUUUUGUAAAUGCCAAGUAAUCAAUACAUACACAAUGUGUUGAUUAUAAUGAAAUAAAGUUAAAAAAUCAGUAAUGGCAAUAAAACCACUUCGACCAUCUCUUGGACACAUAAAACAUUAUAAUGUAUGGUAUAUAACCAUUGGGGUUUAGAGGAAAUUUAAAAGAUAUUACAAAAUACUUGGAACUGGAUAAGAACAAAAGUGUCAAAUGUCAAACUUUAUGACCCAUAACUCUCAAGUUGCACUUAAAGUUUUACAUAAUUUUGAAUACACAAAUAGCAAACAAGACACCGAAAGACCACAUACCUAAGGACAUAACUAAACAUAUUAGAAAAAGAAAAAGAAAAAUGACAGAAUAAAACCAAAGCAAAGAAAAAGAUAUAAAGUGAGUUUAAAAAAAUCAAUGAAAUUGCCAAAAAUCCCCAUUAAAAUGUGAUUCUUUGAAAAAUGAGAUGGCAAAAGUGUCUGUGAAACUCUACACGCCAAUACAUUUAGACCCAGAUGGACAACGGCUUAGGAAAAAUAGCAGCCUUGGACUAGAGGAAUCAAAGGAAAGCUGCCGACAUGGAGUCACAAACAGCACUCUCUCUCCCAAUAGAAGCUUCUAGACAGGUUCCAAACCCAAACUAGGAAACCCGUUCCAGGAGGUUCCUAAGUGAGUGAGUGAUUUGGGAGCCAGAACACACAGGGAAUCCAGGGGAAAGUAGUAAAAUAAAAUAAAACAAGAAGGGCCUUGGGUGAGCACACUGCACCAUGGCCUGAGUAGUAGUAUUAUUUCAAUUAUUUGCACCUGAGGAGACGUACAGUUGCUUUCAAUGUCCAGAAUUUGCAGGUGAACCUCUCAGACCUUUGCUUUUCUCCUUUAUGGGUUUCUUUUCCCUGGGACACAUUGUCAGCCCUUAGCUGCUCACUAAAGCCUCCUGAUUUGAGAUCUAUAUGACAAAUGCCUGAUGCUAAGCAGAGAUGCUGAGGCCUGGAGCCAGGAAGGCGAAUUAGUUUCCUAGUUCUAAAGGUAGGGGUGUGUGGUGCAUGCAUGAGAGAGAGAGAGAGAGAGAAACAAGAGGGAGA